AGAGUUUGAUCCUGGCUCAGAUUGAACGCUGGCGGCAUGCCUUACACAUGCAAGUCGAACGGCAGCGCGGGAGCAAUCCUGGCGGCGAGUGGCGAACGGGUGAGUAAUAUAUCGGAACGUACCCUGGAGUGGGGGAUAACGCAGCGAAAGUUGCGCUAAUACCGCAUACGAUCUACGGAUGAAAGUGGGGGCUCGCAAGACCUCAUGCUCGUGGAGCGGCCGAUAUCUGAUUAGCUAGUUGGUAGGGUAAAAGCCUACCAAGGCAUCGAUCAGUAGCUGGUCUGAGAGGACGACCAGCCACACUGGGACUGAGACACGGCCCAGACUCCUACGGGAGGCAGCAGUGGGGAAUUUUGGACAAUGGGGGCAACCCUGAUCCAGCAAUGCCGCGUGAGUGAAGAAGGCCUUCGGGUUGUAAAGCUCUUUUGUCAGGGAAAGAAAACGGUGAAAGGCUAAUAUCCUUUGCUAAAUGACGUACCUGAAGAA
rnacentral:rRNA from 1 species